GCGUAGGAAUCUACCUGGUAGUGGGGGACAACAGUUGGAAACAGCUGCUAAUACCGCAUACGCCCUAUGGGGGAAAGCGGGGGAUCUUCGGACCUCGCGCUAUCGGAUGAGCCUGCGUUGGAUUAGCUUGUUGGUGAGGUAAAAGCUCACCAAGGCGACGAUCCAUAGCUGGUCUGAGAGGAUGAUCAGCCACACCGGGACUGAGACACGGCCCGGACUCCUACGGGAGGCAGCAGUGGGGAAUAUUGCGCAAUGGGCGGAAGCCUGACGCAGCCAUGCCGCGUGUGUGAAGAAGGCCUU
rnacentral:rRNA from 1 species